rnacentral:rRNA from 1 species
CGCAGAGAAGCUCCUGAUCGAAGCCCCAGUAAACGGCGGCCCGUAACUAUAACGGUCCUAAAAAGGUAGCGAAAUUCCUUGUCCGGAGGAGUGAGUUCCGACCUGCACGAAUGGCGCCAAUGAUGGCCAGGCUGUGCACCCGAGACUCCGGUGAAAUUGAAAUCGCCGUGAAGAUGCGGUGUACCCGCGGCUAGACGGAAAGACCCCGUGAACCUUUACUAUAGCUUGACACUGAACGGUAGUUUUGAUGUAGGAUAGGUGGGGAGCCUUUGAAGCAGUCACGCCAGUGAUUGUGGAGCGUCCUUGAAAUACCACCUUUAACGUUUGAUGUUCUAACGAAGAUUGCGGAACGCGGUCUCGGACAGUGUCUGGUGGGUAGUUUUGACUGGGGCAGAGUCUCCUCCCAAAGGCCAACGGAGGCACGAAGGGUUUGCUAAUCACGGUCGGACAUCGUGAGGUUGGUGCAAUGGUAUAAACAGCUUUAACUGCGAGACGAAUGAUCCCGAGCAGGUGCAGCUUUGGAGUCAUAGUGAUCCGGUGGUUCUGAAUGGAAGGCCAUCGCUCAACGGAUAAAGGUACUCCGGGGAUAACAGGCUGAUACCGCCCAAGAGUUCAUAUCGACGGCGGUGUUUGGCACCUCGAUGUCGGCUCAUCUGCUCCUGGAGCUGAAGUAGGUCCCAAGGGUAUGGCUGUUCGCCAUUUAAAGUGGUACGCGAGCUGGGUUUAGAACGUCGUGAGACAGUUCGGUCCCUAUCUGCCGUGGGCGUUGGAGAAUUGAAGGGCUGCUCCUAGUACGAGAGGACCGGAGUGGACGCAUCACUGGUGUUCCAGUUGUCUCGCCAGAGCAUUGCUGGGCGCUACAUGCGGAAGAGAUAAGUGCUGAAAGCAUCUAAGCACAGGGAAACUUGCCUCGAGAUGAGUUCUCCCACACUAUAAGUGUAAGGGUUGUUGGAACUACGACGUAGAUAGGCUGGAGUGUGUAAGUGUUGUGAGACAUUGAGCUAACCAGUACACUAAUUGCCCGAGAGACAACUAUAC